AAUUAAAAAUAUACACAUCGUCCAGAACGUCUCAAGAGUAGAUCGAAGUAAGGCUUGGAAGGUACAUCUGAGAGCAUAUCCUAAGCGCAAUGGAACUUCUUUACUCCGUGUUGGUCAUCACUUUGAUGGCUGACGCCUGCUACAGCCUGACGUGCACCAACGCAAAUUGGUGGCACACGUUUGACCAUGAGGGAUGGUCUCAUUGCAACUCCGAAAAUCAAUACAUGACUGGUCUUUGGAGAAAUGAUAAUAAGGGAUUAAAUGAUGGUAUUUAUCUCAUAGAGCACGCUAAGUGUUGUUUUGCUCCUUACCUACAUGCGAAAGACAUUCCAGCAUCCUGCAAGAAAGUCAACUGGUGGAAAGUUCUUGAUAACACUAACAAGUGGGCAACCUGUCCAGAUGGAUACUUCACGGGAGGUCUUUAUAGGACAGGAAAAGACCCCUGGCUGCAUAACAUCGAAGAGGCUCGGUGCUGUAAGCCAGUAGGGUGGCCAGAUAAAUAUGCAGACUGUUAUGUUGAGAAUGUUUGGGGUUCGUUUGAUCGCAAAGGACUCAGUGAGUGCAAGCGUGAGGGCUACUACAUGGCUGGAAUAUUUAGAGGGAGUUGCGACAAGCUGUACUGUCUUGAGGAGUUUAAAUGUUGCCGAAUGAUGGAUAUUGAAGGCACGCACAAUCAAGCUGAUGAAAUAGUCAAAGAAUAAUUCUAAAAACCAAGUACUGAGCUGCAAAACUGUUAUCUGUAGAUUCGGCGUGCGGUAGAGGCUUGGUGAUGGUUUAGGUGAAAAUUGUAAUAGAAACAGUUUUAAACGUACGUCUGUUGUAUGGAAACCGUGUUGCAAGGCAUCAACAAUAAACGCAUUGUUACUUUAAAUUUCCCUUUGAGACUUUUGUUGUAGAUAGAUAACUACGCGUAUACAAAGCGUAUACACAUUUCAUUUAUUCUCAAGAUGGACUUCUAUUUAGAAAGAAAAAACUCGCAGAUAAGUGCGAUAUAAUUAGCUAAGAAAAACUAAACGAAAUAGAAAUGAACUUACAAUUUGUGGUGUAACCUGGUCCGGUCGCAAAAGCUCUUAACGAAGAACAACACGGCACUGGCAAAAACUAACGAGACGACUAACUUAGUUGAAAUCAACUUGCAAUAAACUUGUCUAGUGAAAACAACGCGCAUACCGCAAAAAUAUCUAGAUACUAGCAUUAUGUAAUUCUUGCAUAACCUCACGCAAAAACGCGAACUUAAUUUUUAUAGAAACAACGCUACUACAGUGUAAAAGA